UGACGCAUUUAAUCAUGUUCCUGUACUCUGGAAUGCCAGUAAUCUACAUCCAAAUCGUUUGGUUCGUCAGCUCGUUGUGACUUAUUUCUUAUUCUCGAUCUCGUGUCUUUGUAAGCUUACACUAAACCUGGCCAGAUUUAUUAGCUUGUUUAAAUCGACGCAUCUUUGUUGACGAGACACUUAUACUUCUUGGCAGUGACUGAGUUUCAAGAAACUUUGAAAAACAAUUUUGAGAAGAAACCUGUUUCCUUAUUCCUAACUAAUCUAUCUUGACCUUGUGAAGACUUCGUCCUACCCCAGGUUAUCAAAUAUCAGUGAAGUACAGGAUCACAACAACUUAUUCGAGCAACUACUUUCUAACUGGUAUCUAUCUUGUGAAGACUCUCUCCUCAACCCCAAGUUAUCAGGCAGCAGUGUUGAAAACAGAAUAUAUUGUUUGGAGACACGCUUCAGUACUGAGAUAUUCAAUCUACUUCCUAACUGUGUAAUCACUGCUAACUCUCGAGAGGAACCUAGUGCACACUUCAGGUACCAGAAUCCGGUCAGCGAUCAAGCAGCGUAUUCCAA